UUAAAUCGUAACUUAUACACUAGAGUAGUAAUAGUUAUGAGCUUGAAACUUAAAAAAUUUGGCGGUAUUUUAGUCUAUUCAGAGGAACCUGUUCUAUAAUCGAUAAUCCACGAUGGACCUCACUUAAAUUAGUAUUCAGCUUAUAUACCGUCGUUAUCAGGAAAUUUUAAAAGAAAUAGAAUUUCCAGAAAUUCCUAUAAGAAUUUAUAUCAGAUCAAGGUGUAGCUAAUGUUUAAGAAGAAAUGGGUUACAAUAAAUUUAUUUAGUGGAUUUCUUUUUGAAAUAGAAGAAUAAAAAUGGAUUUGAUAGUAAAAUUUUAUAGAUUAAAAAUUUGAUUGUAGCUCUAAAAUAUGCAC
rnacentral:rRNA from 1 species